GGGCCCGUGGCUCAGCCUGGUGGAGCGCCCGGCUGAUAACCGGGAGGCCGUGAGCUAGGCUCUUGAUGGGCUGG
rnacentral:tRNA from 1 species